rnacentral:rRNA from 1 species
GAUGAACGCUGGCGGCGUGCCUAAUACAUGCAAGUCGAGCGAACGGACGAGAAGUUUGCUUCUCUGAUGUUAGCCGCGGACGGGUGUAUAACACGUGGAUAACCUCCCUAUAAGACUGGGAUAACUUCGGGACGCCGGAUCUUAUACCAGAUAAUAUUUUGAUCCGUAUGGUUCAAAAGUAAAAGACGAUCUUGUUAUUACUAAUAGGUGGUUCCGCGCUGCAUUUACUAGUUGGUAAGGUAACGCCUUACCAAGGCAACGCUGAAUCGCCGACCGAAGGGGGUGAUCGGCCACACUGGAACUGAGAAACGGUCAAGACUCCUACGGGGGGCAGCAGAAGGGAAUCUUCGGCAAGGGGCGAAGGCCUAACGGAGCAACGCGGCUGGAGGGAUGAAGGUCUCCGGAUCGUAAAACUCGGUUAUUGGGGAAGAACAGAGGUGGAAGGAAAUGUGCACAUCGUGACGGUACCUAAUCAGAAAGCCACGGCUAACUACGUG